rnacentral:misc_RNA from 1 species
GAAAAGGGGACGCGUGCGUUGCCUCGUCACCCCUUCCCCUCCCUCCCCCUUUGUGUUGCUUCGGACGCCUGUUCCUUUGUGGGUUUUGUGUGCUUUAUACCCCCCUUUUCGCUUGGUUUCUCUCUUUGUUUCGUGUGUGCAACGGCGCACACUUGACACGUGUCACGGGGGGUCGCAGAGAUCGAGCGCGCACGUACACAGCUAAACACACACACACACACACACACGGCAGGCCGUAGAGCGCUUCCCCUCUUCUCUUUCUCGUUCCUCUACCUUUGACUCUUUCAUAGGUGCCCUUCAUAUCGGUACGCACACACCCGUACAUACCUCCAUACACACACACACACACACACUUAGAGUCGAACACACACGCGCCUUCCUUUCUAUACACCCACCUACCCACCUCACCGCACACAGACACUCAGACACGCGUUCAAUGAACAUAAAGCCCCGGUAACUCUUGUGCACACACGAAAAACGUAGUACGGCAAUGGGCUCCGUAGAGGAGAUCGACUCCCUGGCGGAGUCCAUGUACGCCAGUCCGGAUCCGGAGGCUCGCCGGCUCGCGCAGGAGCGUCUCACUGCUCUCACGCAGGAGAACGCAGACGUAGCCCCGCUCGAGGCGAUUUUUGCGCGGUCCAACAACCAAUAUGCACUGAUGUUCGUGUCGCAGGGCGUGGUGACGUGGUUCAGAGCGAACCGAAAGUGGCUCUCCAACGAGCAGCGCUUCGAGGUGGUGGUGAACAUGUGUGGCACUUGCGUGCAGCGGGUCAGUCUUGCCGGCGCCCCGCGGCACGUGACGCUGGGCCUCAUGAACGCGUACGCGAAGCUGACGAAGUUGUGCUUUGAGAAAGGCGCGCUUCUGGUGGAGGCGGUUGCCUUCGCGCUGCAGAUGCUUCACGACGCGUCACCCUCAUACGCGAAGAGCGUUUCACAGAACGGCGGGUGCGGCACGGCAGCCGGCUCGCACGGAGGCAACGACGACAAAGCAAACCUUAUCGGCUCCUCGAACGGCGGCGCGUCAUCCUCGUCAGCGAUGGUCGGCGGCGCGAGUAGCAUCUCUGCCAGCAGUGGUGGCGGUGGCCCGAGCAGCAACGACGGUGGCCCGCUUGGCUACGGCAUCAUCCGGCACUCCCGCUUUGCCCCGACCGGGUACCGUAGCGAAGAGGAGCGUCGCACUGCCUACUAUGUUGCCCUGCUGCUGCUCAGUACCCUCGUUAAUGAGUUUAGCAAGUACGACUCGGCCAAAUCGCAGACGUACAUGAAUUUCUCCUCUCACCGCCGCUGCAGCAACAACUUCCGCGACGAGUGCAUGCUGGACAUCUUCGUCGCCAGCGUGGCCGAGCUGGAGGGCAUUAACGGCGCAUCUCCCAUGGUGCUGGAGGUGACGGAAUUUGUGCGGGACUGCCUCACUUAUGAUUUCAUGGCCAUCAUGGUCGAUGAGACCGAGGAGGCGCUGUCAGCCCAGUUCCCGAGCUCAUGGAAGGGGGUGCUUCUUGCGCCUCACACGUGGGACGUGUUGUGGGGCCAGCACGCCACACUGCCCUACCCCCACUGCGCCACGCUGCUCACGGGCCUGACGAGCAUGUGCGGCGUCCGUCGCACCUUCUUCGAGUCGACCGAGGAGCGUGUCCAGUACCUGAACGGUGCCCUGACCCACCUCGUCCGCACAAUGCAGCUCACCGACGGACGGUUGAAGGUACCGCACUACGUGACGGUGCUGGCGGAGGCGUGCUACCGCUUCGUUUCCCCGUUCGGCUAUCGCGAUCUCCACCUCAGCUCUGUCUUUCAGACGUGGGUGUCAGCAGUCCGUGCCGUGUCACUGGACGUCUUCCGCAUCCCAUUCGGCCAGUCCGGCUCCUUCACGACAGCGACAACCCUGCUCAACUUCUGGAGCCGGUUGGCGACCUCGCGGCGCAUGUACAGCAUGUCGGAGGAGUCCGCGAAGGAUCUGGAGCUCAUCUCGCCCGAGCUGGUCAUGUGCUUCUUUGAAGCCCGCGUGCAGGUGUCAGGCGGCAGUGGCCAGCAGGGGUCAUUGCGCCGUGACACGAACAACGCUAACGGCGACCUAGAGGGGAUGGAGUACAACAUGGAGUUUGACGAGGACUUUGAGGCCACGAUGGAGUCGAUUCUCGCGCAGUCGGACGCCGCGGCGACGCUCGCUCUGCUGGAGCACACGGAGGCGAUGAGGCUGCUGGCGAACUACGUUCACAACGGGCUAGGCUCGAACGUUCUGACGAGCCCCAGCGCCACCACCUGGCUGUUCUACCUCGCCGGCGGGCUCGUGCGGCAUGUGCUGAGUGCCGUCGAGGAGUCGGCGGUGGAGGCCUGCUCGGGCUUCUUCAUGUUCUGUGUGGAUUGCGCGAAUCAUCGCCGCAGCGGCGCCGCUGCUCCAUCGAGGUCGUCUCUCUACAGCUCCUACGUUGAGCGUGCACUCCUGCACUUCUUGACGAUGGUGCAAAGUGUGCUCAGCUCCUCGCGCCUGCACGAGGCACUCAACACCGUCGUCACGAACGUCUUCCAGUCUCGGGUGGCGCUCUUCCAGUUCAUACUCAACAACACAGGGCACAACAUCAUGCGUGGUGUCACAGGCAACCGCACCACUGACGAGGAAACAGCGCACAUUAUCCGCGAGUCCAUCGAGCUCAUCCGCAACGCAUGCAUGGAUGUCCCGCACGCCAUGCUAGCCGAACUGCACCUUGAACUGCCUCCGGUUGUGGAACUACCCUUGGCGCAGUCGGUACAGACCUACAAGCUGCGCACCAACCUCUCUGCGGUGCUGUGGCGGCUGCUCAGCGUGACGCCGUAUUCGCAGGCUAACCUGAAAGUGUUCCUUCAGCCGAUCGAGCUGUGCAUGCAGAACACUCUCGGCGGCGGCGGCGGCAACGACGCGCUCUUCACGGCGGGCUGGAUGCGCGACCUGCGCGGCGUCGUGUUGGCGCUACGGGACAGCGCAGAUGGGCUCAGCGACUUUGUUGAGUGGGUAUGUGACCACGCCAGCUCCUUCCACGAGGUGCUGCACCGGUCCGCGGCGCAGCACAGCAUGGUGAUUGUCUCCUUUCUGCGCUUCCUUGAAGAGCUCGUCUCGCAGAUGGGGGGUCGGUGCACGCUGCCGUGCUGCACCGCGCACAGCUCCUGCGGUCUCAUGCUCUUCAAGCACAUGUGCUCCCUCAUGCAGAGCAUCAUUGAGCAGUGCAUCACAGAAGAGCACAUUCAACGCGUGAGCAGCGCCGGCGGAGGUGGUAUGGUUGAUGGCGCGUACGACAUGAUGCUGAAACCGUUGGCGUUGUCCCUGAGUGUGCUGAGGAAGUCGAUCCAGGGCGGCUUUGUGCCGCUCGGGGCCAUGGCUUUCUACCACGACGAGACCUACGACAACGUCCUCCUCGGCCUGCUGCGCAUGGUCGGUGUGUUUCCGUUUGUAUACUUUAGGGAGUACCCGAAGGUGCCCUACGCCGUUGUGAACAUGCUGCGCACCGUGACUGAGGAGUUCGCCUAUCGCCCUCUCAUGAGCCUCGACGCCAGCGAGCUGGAGAAGCUCAUCUCCUUCGUCGUGUACCUCUGCGAGGACGUCGACACGCAGACCGGAACGCUGCUACAUGGGCUGUCCUUUCUCAGCUUCAUUGCUGGCCUUAUUAGAGAGGUCAAGGCGCUCUCCACACAAGCGGUGUCGCCAGCUCUAGAGGCGCGCACGCACGGCACCCCUCCGCCGUCUCCGAUGCAGCUGCCCUCCUUCUACGCGAGUCCGUCUGGCCGUCUUUCGGGCACCCCGGGCAGCCUUGGUGGCCGCAGCGGCGGUGGUGCAGGCGGCCGCUCCGGCUGUGGUGCCUCGGCGCCACGGGCGACGCGACUGGCGAGGGAGGCGCUGGCUCGCACACUGGAGCCAUUCAACUCGCUCUGGGAGCGACUCAUCUCGGUUGCCAUGAACGUCAUUGUAUGCCAGGACCGCGCCCUGAGCGUCAGCUGCGCGGUGGUGUACCCCAUCUUCGAGGUGCAUCCGCCGUUCUGGUACUCCUUCGUGGAGAACUUUGUGCGUACCUACCCAGAGCGAAAGCAGCCGAUGGUGCGUGAGGCGCUCUCCACCCUAUCCCACGCCGCUGAGUCGCAGGACAAGUUUUUUUCGGAGGUGUUCACCUUUCGUCAGACAAUGCGCAAUCUGUGAGAGGGGUGAUGGUGGUGGUGAUGGCCGUGGGCAGGUUGGACGAAUGCAGCCUUGGCAUGGAUGCUAUCAUAUGCACGUGGCCUCCGUAGGGGCUGCACUGGUUCUAGACACUGUUAACGAUAAGAUCAGAGACAAUGAUUAGUUCGGUGACAACAGUGAUGUUGACAUCUGUAAGUUCUUGGCCGGCUAAUGGUGAUGGUGACGAGAAACGGUGUGGCAUGUGCCGCCGUUUCUCCACCCUGCAAACGUGCUGCACGCGUUUGGCAGAGAUGACUCACUAUCAGCUCGCCCGUGCGUGCAACAGUGUGGACGCAAAGGCGUGUGUAUGCGUGUAGGAGUGCCCAUAAGGAUGUGGCGAUCUUCCUGUGUGCGCCUGUGUGUGUGUUUCUUCUGCGAACUGUUCUACACAUAAACACGGCGAUUACGUAUAAUGACUUUCAGUGCGCACUGACCCAGAGAACGGGAAGCCGCAACGAGCCGCGAAAAAAAAACGAGGAGGGACGACAACGGGGGCGGGGCGGCUAAACAAGAGGGAAGGGGAGGGAGGGUUAGUGGCGAUAGUUGUGCGUGCGUGUCUGUGUGCUCUCUCGCCAUCGCCCCCUUUUCCUCCUCUUCUUACAAACUACGCGGCUCCUGUCCUAGUUUUCCUUUCACCGCUCAGCGUUCGCUGAGGAUUCGCUCAGAAGCACGAGAGAGGCACCAGUCAUUCCGCAUUCGACGCCACACAGACACCCACG